UCCUUCUGUAACCCAAAAACGCAAAUUAGGGUUUUAGAAGCUCAUUCCUUUUCUAUAUAAACCAAAACCCUCUCGUUACUUACACAUCAAUCUCUGUAGACCUUGAUACUCAAACAUGAAUAUAUAUCCAAAUUUCUGUGUUUAUCUCUCAUUGUGUAUUUGUUUGUACUUAUCUAGUUCUGCACGUAGCCUCCCGGGCUCGUCUGAGAUCAAUGUGAAGAAGAAGAAGCCCCAAUGCUCGUGCUAAAUUAAUCUCGCCGCUAGUGUUGCAGCUUAGCCCUUUGUACCUCUUUUUCCAUGGCUGAUCUGUGUCAAUUCAACGGCUACACUUGCUUGUUCUUGAAAUAUUCGUCUUUGAUUUGAAUUUUCUCGAUUUUUUUUCAAUUGUUCCAUUGUUUGCCUCUCCUCACCUUUAGCUUCCUUUCUAAUCGUCAAUGAAAGCAGUGGCUAGUCAUGGAGGCAAAAAUUCAUCGCCGAUGUUACGUGGGGUCUUGGCGAUGAUUAAAAUGGAUUUAUCCGCGCUUCUGAGAGCAAUCGAUGAAGCAAGAACAAAUAAAUGGUUGAAUUUCUUAAUAUGAGCCUGGAAUUUUUUAUUUAUUUUUUGUUUCAAUAUGCACAAGUAUCCUCUUUAUUUGUUAAUUUGUGGCAUUGAUGAUAACAGUUCAGCUUUCAAACGCCAGUUCUGCUUCUGAAUAUCCUUGAUUGAUAGAGCUGUUGUUUUAUCUGAGCCUAUUGUUUUCUUACAUCAUCAUAAGUUUAUGAUAUUUAUCUUUGUUUCUUGAUUUUGAGUUUUAACUAUACUCUUCCUCUGCCUUUUAGUGGGUGUAGGGUCUGACAAACUCAGAAAUUUAAGUGCUGUUUAUCAGCUUCUCUCUGGCAAUCUGACUGGGAUUGGAGUUAAAUCAUAGCACAACAUAUCUUUUUGGUUGCAUGUAUAAUCUAUAAUUCAUUGCCUGUGAUGCUUUAAUCCGUAUUAAUGAGGUGUAGUGGAGCCAAGUCCCUGCAUUGCAGGGGGAACCUCCUUGGGGAAGCUACAUUCCAGAUGAUCAUGGUGGAUUUUCUGAGGCAUUUAAUCUAUAGUGUAAGCUUUCAAGAAAUUUUUUUGUAUUGAACUGAGUUUAUACUAUGUGAUUAACCCAAAAGGUUUAAUUUUGGUGAUUGCAACUGAUAAACUCAUAUAUUGAGUGUUGUCCAUCACCUCCUACCUUCGGAUGUUCUACUGGAAUGGAGUUAAAUAACAGCACAACAUCAUGUUCAUUAUGAAGAUUAUUAUUGAAAGAGAUUGUUUUGGAAGUGAUCGAAUAUUUUGUGAGGAUGUAGAAAGAAUUGUAAAAUUUAUGCUGUUCUGCAUUAGUAGUGUAAAGAUGUGCAUACCCAAUUGGAUAUGUACACUUGUAAUACUUAUUUUUGAAUAAUGAUGAAUCAUGAAA